GACGAAUGCUGGCGGCGUGCUUAACACAUGCAAGUCGAACGGAAAGGCCCUGCUUGCAGGGUACUCGAGUGGCGAACGGGUGAGUAACACUUGGUUGAUCUGCCCUGCACUUCGGGAUAAGCCUGGGAAACUGGGUCUAGUACCGGAUAGGAGCCAUAUUUAGUGUGAUGGUUGGAAAGUUUUUUCGGUGUAGGAUGAGCUCGCGGCCUAUCAGCUUGUUGGUGGGGUAGUGGCCUACCAAGGCGGCGACGGGUAGCCGGCCUGAGAGUGUGGACGGCCACAUUGGGACUGAGAUACGCCCCAGACUCCUACAGGACGCAGCAGUGGGGAAUAUAGCACAAUGGGGGCAAGCCUGAUGCAGCGACGCCGCGUGGGGGAUGACGGCCUUCGGGUUGUAAACUCCUUUCGCUAGGGACGAAGCUUUUGUGACGGUACCUAGAUAAGAAGCACCGGCUAACUACGUG
rnacentral:rRNA from 1 species